rnacentral:misc_RNA from 1 species
CAUCCCUCAAGCCCCCGGGCUUGGUGUUGGGGAUCGGCGAGCCUCAGCGCCCGCCGUCCCCUAAAUUUAGUGGCGGUCACGCUGUAACUUCCUCUGCGUAGUAGCACACUUAGCACUGGGAAACAGCGCGGCCACGCCGUAAAACCCCCCAACUUUUGAACGU